UAAUAAUGAAGUUCUAGUGUUCAACCAAGAUCGUAAACAAGGAUCAUUUUCCAUUUCGUCUAUUUCACUCUUUUUAAGAACUAAAGAGUCAACUAGCGUGAAUUAGCUGUUCGAGAUUAAUACCAGAACCAUCUGUUGGUUCGAGUUCGUUUCGUUUGAAAUGAUGUAAACCGUAUAGACAUCAUUUAGUUUUACGCUCGUCAUAUAUUUGUCGAUUGGCGCGAAAUAAUUCGGAUAUGGCUGGAUUUUUAAGUGCUCUGGAACUGCUUCAGGGCGGAGGUGUGUCGAAUUUUAACUAUGAAUAAUUAAUACCCACAAAUUAAUUAAAUUAAAAUUUAUUUAAAAAAAAUGAAAUUGAAAAUUAAUUAUGUACUUAUACAUAAUUUUGAUAACACGAUUAUCGUAUUUAUCGAUGUAGGGUGGUCAGCCAAUUAAUAAUUCAUACCCAGGAAUAUCCAAGACCAUAUAUUGACGAUCGACGACAUCCUGGUUCUUCAAUGGUAUCAUUUUUUGGCGUGCGGCGUUUAAUGUAAUUCUCGAUUUAGUCGUAGGCAUUUUAGUACAUCCCGGGUGUUUACAUUGGAACUUUCCAUCUGCACUUUUUCUCCCUGAUGCGAUGGCACAGGCUGUAUGGUACACAUGAUGACAGGGGUAUGUACAUAUAGUUCCAUAACGGUCUUUUUCGUGGAUACAAAUGGCAUGCAUUGCAAACUCACCCCCAUUUCAUUAGGUUACCUUCGUAAGGAUGCGAUGAGCGAUGUAGCUUGAGAAUUAUACCGGGUAUUAAUUUGUUAAUUCAUAUUCCAGGUAGAAUGAGUAAAAACCCAUUUUGCAUUCUCCCAGAAUCCAAGUAUUUUUCGUUAUCUUUUUCAAAAUUCUAAUUUAUAGGAGUCUGAGAAUAAGUGAACAUUUCCAUAAAACAUACGCAAUUUAAAUAAAUUAAUAGUUAUAGUUAUUCAUAUGGUCGGUACUAUGAGUGUUGCCCAUGGCCCAAACUAGAUUUGGGUGUCACCUAGUUCAGCGUAGGGCCUGCAUUCAGUUCAAAUAUCACGAUUCCGUUACAGUAGCUAGUGCUGAACGAUCAUUUAGGUGUUUUAGGUCGUAUUAAGGACUUCAAGCGAGCUACAACAGGGCAAGAACGACUCAAUGGACUAGCAAUUCUGUCCAUUGAAAGCCAAGUAGCAAAAAAAACUUUCAUUUGAUGGAAUAAUCGAUGAUUUUGCUCGCAAAAAGGCGUGGAAAUGCUUUUUGGGUAGCUGGUUUUGGUAACACAUAUUUAUUUGGAUCCAAAGAGUUUUUGAUAAUCAGUACGAUUAAAUUUUGAUCUGCGGUAUCAUAGCAAUCUCAGGUGGAGUGUGCUGAGGUUGCAACAGGGAGUCAUCGGAAAUUCUCAACACUUCAUACAGCGGAGGACAAAGUUCUGUUGGUACACUGCUGUUGAGACAGCCUCCCGCAAUGUUACCCUUCAGGAAGCGCUGCGCAUUUGUGGGCAUAUUUAUCUAGAACAAGAAGAACACGACAUAUCUUACAGUAUGUAUAGAUUACAUCGAAAUUGGCAUGAGUUUUUAAUUAAAAUAGGUAUAGGUUUAGGUAAGUUAUUGGCUAUAAUUAUUUAUAUUGACGCGACAACAAUUAUUAUUAGUGCGACACGGAAGAUAAAAAACAAGAUGAUCCAAGGAUUGCAGUUCUUCGCUUGCAAUCACUGAUUUUGAUUAGUUUGUUUAAAUAAAACUUGCUAUUAAAGGUGUUAAUAGACAAAAAUAAAAAAGUGUAAGAAAAAAAAAGAUUAAAUAAAUAUACAAAGAAAAGAUAAUUAAUGCUGCACAUAAAAUUUUCGAAAAAAUAAUGAAAUAAGUAUCUUUGAGGACGAAUCAUUUAUUACACUAACGGAAUUGUAACUUCACCAAAUUUUAACGCGUACGGUGCCUUUUCAAACUUCUUCAAUAACACGUUGAUAAAAUUGCUGUUACGUGAUUUUUCCAGCUCACGAAAAUCAUCUGGGACUAACGUGCGCUUGUAAUAGAAAUGAAUAAUUAUUGCUAUUCAUCUGUACACAUCUACUUCAGUGUGUAAUCGCCGGUUUGAAUUAAGAAAAAGUUGAAGUCGACAUUGUUAGUUUUCUACUUGAAUAAUAUAAAACACGAAAAAAUUAGCGCUUUCGAAAAAAAAAUAUUAAUUCUCAAAUGGGUCGCUUCGUCUAUUCUAUCAUUGAAUAAUUUACUUGCGUAACCUUGUAUCAAAACAGAGUAUAAAACGUUAAUCUUCCAUCUUUAAUUUCUUGAGCUUUGAAAUUUCACCGAACACCUUUUUUUUUAGGAAUCGUUUUAAUUUCAAUAAGUCUCGAUGAUUUUUUUCCUUCAAUAUUCAAAAAGAAAGAAAAGAACGAAAAUGAAAAAAAAUAGUUCCAAUGGGAACGUUAAAAAAAACAAUCAAUAUUGUUGCCAAUAGCCAUCUCCUCAUUAGUGGAGUGAAGGGGGUUGUAGAUUCAUGAUCUAAAAAUUGAAAUUGAACAAAAUUCAUGUGUGCACCGAAUUUCAGGCUAAUACACGAGAAAACAAUGCUUGAAUUUUUUGUAGUUGAGCUAUUUGACCAAUUUAAACCCAACUUCUGUAGUGGUAUUCUCAAAUCUCGAAUAAAUGUGUCCUAAUGAUGAAAAGUGAUUUGAUACAAUUUUUGAGUUCUGAUGGGUUUUCUUUGGUACAUAUUUUAAAAGAUAAAGAAAAGAAAGAAAAAAAAAAAGAAAACGAAAGAAAAGGAAAAAAAGGAAACAAAGCAAUAGAAAAGAAGAAGAAAAUGAAAAUAAUGAAUGAUAC